CAUGUCUAUAUGGUUGUUAUAUAAAGUCUAGCCUGCCCACUGAUUUAGUUUAAAGGGCCGCGGUAUAUUGACCGUGCGAAGGUAGCAUAAUCAUUAGUCUUUUAAUUGAAGGCUUGUAUGAAUGGUUGGACAAAAAGUAAGCUGUCUCGAUUAUAAUAAUUGAAUUUAACUUUUAAGUGAAAAGGCUUAAAUAAAUUAAGGGGACGAUAAGACCCUAUAAAGCUUGACAAUAAUUUAAUUAUACUAUCAAUUGUUAGUAUAACUUGGUUUUAAUUAAUAUUUGUUGCGUUGGGGCGACGAGAAUAUAAUAGGUAACUGUUCUUAAAUAUUUAAUAACAAAUAUAAUUGGAAAUUAGUAUGAUCCUCUAUUAGCGAUUAAAAGAUUAAGUUACUUUAGGGAUAACAGCGUAAUCUUCUUUGAGAGUCCCUAUCGACAAGAAGGUUUGCGACCUCGAUGUUGAAUUAAGGUAUCCUUAUGAUGCAG
rnacentral:rRNA from 1 species